UACGUAGGGUGCGAGCGUUGUCCGGAAUUAUUGGGCGUAAAGGGCUCGUAGGCGGUUUGUCACGUCAGGAGUCGAAACUCGGGGCUCAACCCCGAGCCUGCUUCUGAUACGGGCAGACUAGAGUGUGGUAGGGGGAGACUGGAAUUCCUGGUGUAGCGGUGAAAUGCGCAGAUAUUGGGAAGAACACCUGAGGCGAAGGCGGGUUGCGUGGGCUGAGUACUGACGCUGAGGCGCGAAAGCCAGGGGAGGCAAACGGG
rnacentral:rRNA from 1 species